rnacentral:rRNA from 1 species
AUUGAACGCUGGCGGAAUGCUUAACACAUGCAAGUCGAACGGCAGCACGGGGGCAGCCCUGGCGGCGGGGGGCGGACGGGUGGGUGAUACAGCGGAACGUGCGCGGCCGUGGGGGCUAGCGUAGCGACGGAGACGCUCAUACCGCAUACGAUCAGAGGAUGAAAGCGGGGGACCAUGGGGCCUCGCGCGAUCGGAGCGGCCGAUGACCGAUUAGGGAGUUGGUGGGGUAAAGGCCUACCAAGCCGACGAUCUGUAGCUGGUCUGAGAGGACGAGCAGCCACACUGGAACUGAGACACGGCCCAGACUCCUACGGGAGGCAGCAGUGGGGAAUUUUGGACAAUGGGCGCAAGCCUGAUCCAGCCAUACCGCGUGCAGGACGAAGGCCUUCGGGUUGUAAACUGCUUUUGUACGGAACGAAAAGGCUCUGGCUAAUACCUGGGGCUCAUGACGGUACCGAAAGAAUAAGCACCGGCUAACUACGUG